rnacentral:lncRNA from 10 species
CCACUCAGCCUUCUCUUGUUGGGCAAUCAUAUACUUGUCAUAAUUUGUUUGCUUGUUCAUUCAUUCAUUCAUUCAUUCAUUCAUUAUUCAUCCAUUCAUUCGCCAAAUAUUUACCAAACACUAAAUUGGGCCAUACGCUUUGCUGAAUACAUUAACAAACUUUCUUCUAAUCCUAAUUAAGCCCUUUGAUUAUAAAGUAAGAUUAUCUCCUCUUUUUAAUGAGAAAAACAAGGUUAAGAGAAGUUAUGUGCCUUGCCAAAGGUCCCACAGUUAGUAAGUGACAGAUCUUACUAAUCCAAAUCUGUAAUCACUAGACUCUAUGCACUUUUGACUGCCAUAUGUCACCCGACAUAAUUUAAAAGUUAGAGGUAAAUUUUAGCUUUGGAGCUUCCAUUUAUGUUUAAUCAAACCUCAUUCUUUUUUUGUUAAUCAUUUAUUUAUGGUACCCACCAUGUUUAGGCACUGAAAGGCAUUGGGAAGACAAUGAAGAAAAAGCAGAGACAUUCCAUAACCUCAUAGAGCUUACAGUGUCAUGGGAAGCCAAGUAGCAAGAUGUUAUAUUCUGUAUGUGAUGACCACAAUUGCUGCAGCCAUCUCAGGAUCAUGAAGGCAAUCAGCCCAAGAGGACAAGAUAACAUGUAAAGUGGCACAGCACAAAGACAGAAGGAACACAGGCCUUGCAAGACGUCAUUAAGCCUGUAAAUUAAUCUACCCUAAACAAUGCCUCUGGCUUAUUUUUAUGUGAAAUAAAAGCAUCCUAAUUAGUUUACAACAUAUAGAAAGUUUCUGA